AUUGAACGCUGGCGGCAGGCCUAACACAUGCAAGUCGAGCGGAGCGGCGGACGGGCGAGUAAUGCCUAGGAAUCUGCCUGUUAGUGGGGGAUAACGUCCGGAAACGGGCGCUAAUACAGCAUACUAUCAGAUGAGCCUAGGUCGGAUUAGCUAGUUGGUGGGGUAAAGGCCUACCAAGGCGACGAUCCGUAACUGGUCUGAGCGGAUGAUCAGUCACGCGGGAACGGUGACACGGUCCCGACUCCUGCGGGAGGCAGCAGUGGGGAGUAUUGGACAAUGGGGGAAAGCCUAAUCCAGCCAUGCCGCGUGUGUGAAGAAGGUCUUCGGAUUGUAAAGCAAUUUAAGUUGGGAGGCGUUACCAACAGAAUAAGCACCGGCUAACUUCGUGCCAGCAGCCGCGGUAAUUC
rnacentral:rRNA from 1 species